AUUAAGCGGAAGCAAAAAGCACGCAAGCAAAGGCCAGCUGCUCAGUUCUUGUUAACAAUUUUUGAGGCUUUAUUAUUAUAUGCUUAGGAGGCAAACGUACAGUUUCGCUUUGGCAAUAUCUUAAAGUAUUUGUAAACAAGGAUGAAGAAGAAGAAGAAGAAUAAUAAGAAGUUCGGCAAGCCAAAGUUUGAAUACCCUUGUACACUUAAUUGUUAAUCCGACGUUGAUAAGAAUUGGCUCAUAUGGCAUAUAUAGCAAAUGUGUCGAGUUUGGUUGAAAUAACUUUUUAAACAAGAACAUUUUUUAUACAAAAAGCAACUAUGUGAUAUAGUAGUCCGAUAUUGAUAAGAUUUUGUCUACAUAUGUUGAUAAAUAAAAAAGUUGUCCAUGCAAGAA